CAAUCUCGUCCUUCAACCAUUUUUCAGACUUGCUCUUCUCUCCUGCAAUUCUGAGAUCCCAGCCAAUUGUGCACCAUGAAGACUGCUUUCAUGCUCUUCGCUUUGGCCUUCUUGGUUUUCCAGGCAACUGCUAAGCCAAAUCCUGAUGUUUUAGCAGAAGAUGAUGCCCAAAUGCCAGCGGAGGAUGUUCCCCGCCCAAGAAAUGCCAUGGUAUGCAAUGCUAUGGGAGGAAAUUGCCGCCCCGGAUGCUAUGCCAAUGAGAAGCCUGUUGGGAAAUGCUUUGCAAGUAUGUAUUGCUGUGUGGGAUUCCAGUAGAGAGCCUGCUCAAGAGAGAUGCAAGGAAGACCAAGAGCGUACGAUCGGAACAGAGGAAGAAUCCACCUCCCAAUCAAGAAGGAUUAAUGAUAAACCUCUCUUUUUUGAUUAAAACUGAGUUUGCUUCCAA